rnacentral:lncRNA from 1 species
GUGGGUCUUUCAUUUGGAGAUCUUUGUCCACCGGGAUAUUAUUGCCCUGCUGGCACAGCACACCCAAAAAUGAUGGCCUGCCCUGCUGGCACCUGGAAUGACCAGAGGGGAGCCCAGGAUGUCACUUGGUGUCUUCCUUGUGCCCCUGGCUUCUUCUGCAGUAUGUCUGGCCAAGAUGCUCCCGUAGGACUUUGUGCACAAGGUGAGACAAAACCAGAACCUUUUUUAGCUACUCAGAAAUUCAGGGGGGAUUUGCAUGACAAGACUUACAUGUUUUCUUCUUUAAGGCUACUACUGCACAGGAGGGGCAAAGACUGCAAAGCCGGAGGAUGGUGUCACUGGGGAUAUCUGUCCUCGAGGACAUUUCUGCCCUGCAGGCUCAGCAGCACCUUCUCCCUGCCCCAGUGGCGAAUACAGCAAUGUAACAGGUCAGGAACUGGAUUAUUGCAGCCUCAGUGUGGAUUGGGACAGAGGAGGGGGUUCUUUUUUCAUCUGAUGUCACAUGGAGAGUACAAUUCACCCCUGCAGAACGCAGGUCAGAAGGGGUUGUAGCAGUUGAUACUAAGUGAGCUAUUAACCCAGUUUCCUCACUGUUCUGCCUGCCACCUGCUGGUGUGAUGUGAGGUUACUGGGACUCAGGCUGGAGUGGAUUUGAGACACUUGCUGCAUGGAUCUCACCAGUCAUUCCCAGAGAGCUUGCAGGAUAACUGAAGCAUCUGCUGAUUCUUUAAGUGCAUGACUUGGUAGGAGAAAGUUGUCUGUGUGGCAUCUUCUUCCAGUUAAUUACUUAUUCCCUCUGUAGGUCAAGACAAAUGUUUUCCAUGUCCUGCUGGGUUCCACUGUCCUAAAGGACUGCGACGCCGUUGCCCUCCUGGCUUCUAUUGCCCUCAGAGAACAGGAAUCAGUUUUUAUCCUUGUCCCCCUGGGACUUUCAACCCUUCUUAUGGACUCAGCCAGGUUGAGAGGUGCCAGAAGUGCCCUGCAGGAAUGUUCUGUGGAGACUGGGGUCUCUCCUCUCCAAGUGGUCCCUGUUGGCCAGGGUUCUUCUGCACAGCAGGAGCAAGUGUCCCAAACCCUGACAGAACCACAAACACCAGCACUGGUGGUCCAUGCCCACCUGGACACUUCUGCCCAGCUGGCACAAGUAUCCCACAGCAGUGCCCUGUGGGCACUUACUCAGACAGAUGCAUGGGAGACAGGAGGCCCUUGUCCUGUGAGCCAUUUCUGCCCUGAAGGAGCCAGCUUUCCCUUAGCUUGCCAUGCAGGGACUUACAACAACCUCACCAGACAAGCUGCGUGCUUCCCUUGUGCUGCAGGGUACUACUGCCCAGAAAAUACUACCAGCUACAGUGUGAAUCCUUGUCCUGCUGGCUUUUACUGCCCUAAAGGAACCAGGUUUGCUACUGAGUUCCCCUGUCCCCGUGGCUACUUUAACCCUGAUCCCAUGACACAGAGCUUGGACAGCUGCUUGCCCUGCCCACCUGGGCACUACUGUGGGAAAGAGAACUUGACAGCUCCAUCAGGCGAGUGUGAUGCAGGUUGGUUUUGCAUCUCUGCUGCUUGGACCUCGCAGCCUUUUGACCUGGAUAACUACACCAGUGCCAACUGCCUCUGCCCAGCUACAGCUACUGGAGGGAAGUGCACAGCUGGUUUCUAUUGCCCCAAGGGAAGCUCAGAGCCUCUUCCCUGUCAUCCGGGGUUUUACUGCAAUGCCUCAGGCCUGUCUAUGCCUAGUGGGGAAUGUACUGCUGGCUUUUACUGUAAAGGUGGAGCAGUCCUCCCUAAUCCAACAGAUGAUGUGACUGGGAAUAUCUGCCCUGUGGGGUCUUACUGCAGUAAGUAUCCAGUAUCAGCCAAGGGCACCAAUUCCUUGGCAUUUAAUAUCUGGGAUCCUGAUGGUUGAUUC